rnacentral:rRNA from 1 species
AUUGAACGCUGGCGGCAUGCCUUACACAUGCAAGUCGAACGGUAACAGGUCUUCGGAUGCUGACGAGUGGCGAACGGGUGAGUAAUACAUCGGAACGUGCCCGAUCGUGGGGGAUAACGCAGCGAAAGCUGUGCUAAUACCGCAUACGAUCUACGGAUGAAAGCGGGGGAUCUUCGGACCUCGCGCGGACGGAGCGGCCGAUGGCAGAUUAGGUAGUUGGUGAGGUAAAGGCUCACCCAGCCGACGAUCUGUAGCUGGUCUGAGAGGACGACCAGCCACACUGGGACUGAGACACGGCCCAGACUCCGACGGGAGGCAGCAGUGGGGAAUUUUGGACAAUGGGCGCAAGCCUGAUCCAGCCAUGCCGCGUGCAGGAUGAAGGCCUUCGGGUUGUAAACUGCUUUUGUACGGAACGAAAAGGUUCAUUCUAAUAAAGAGAGCUCAUGACGGUACCGUAAGAAUAAGCACCGGCUAACUACGUGCCAGCCGCCGCCGUAAUAC